rnacentral:rRNA from 1 species
UACGUAGGGUGCAAGCGUUGUCCGGAAUCAUUGGGCGUAAAGCGCGUGUAGGCGGCCCGGUAAGUCCGCUGUGAAAGUCGGGGGCUCAACCCUCGGAUGCCGGUGGAUACUGUCGGGCUCGAGUACGGAAGAGGCGAGUGGAAUUCCUGGUGUAGCGGUGAAAUGCGCAGAUAUCAGGAGGAACACCAAUUGCGAAGGCAGCUCGCUGGGACGUAACUGACGCUGAGACGCGAAAGCGUGGGGAGCAAACAGG